rnacentral:rRNA from 1 species
CCUACGGGAGGCAGCAGUGGGGAAUAUUGGACAAUGGGCGCAAGCCUGACCCAGCAACGCCGCGUGAAGGAAGAAGGCUUUCGGGUUGUAAACUUCUUUUGUCAGGGACGAAGUAAUUGACUUUACGUGACGAAUAAGCCACUGCUAACUACGUGCCAGCAGCCGCGGUAAUACGUAGGUGGCAAGCGUUAUGCGGAUUUACUGGGUGUAAAGGGCGUGGAGGCGGGACUGCAAGUCAGAUGUGAAAACCACGGGCUCAACCUGUGGACUGCAUUUGAAACUGUAGUUCUUGAGUCCUGGAGAGGCAGACGGAAUUCCUAGUGUAGCGGUGAAAUGCGUAGAUAUUAGGAGGAACACCAGUGGCGAAGGCGGUCUGCUGGACAGCAACUGACGCUGAGGCGCGAAAGCGUGGGGAGCAAACAGGAUUAGAUACCCCUGUAGUC